UAGAGUUUGAUCCUGGCUCAGAUUGAACGCUGGCGGCAUGCUUUACACAUGCAAGUCGAACGGUAACAGGGUGCUUGCACCGCUGACGAGUGGCGAACGGGUGAGUAAUGCGUCGGAACGUGCCGAGUAGUGGGGGAUAACGCAGCGAAAGUUGUGCUAAUACCGCAUACGUACUGAGGUAGAAAGUGGGGGACCUUCGGGCCUCACGCUAUUCGAGCGGCCGACGUCUGAUUAGCUAGUUGGCGGGGUAAAGGCCCACCAAGGCGACGAUCCGUAGCUGGUCUGAGAGGAUGAUCAGCCACACUGGAACUGAGACACGGUCCAGACUCCUACGGGAGGCAGCAGUGGGGAAUAUUGGACAAUGGGCGCAAGCCUGAUCCAGCCAUACCGCGUGGGUGAAGAAGGCCUUCGGGUUGUAAAGCCCUUUUGUUGGGAAAGAAAUCCAGCUGGCUAAUACCCGGUUGGGAUGACGGUACCCAAAGAAUAAGCACCGGCUAACUACGUGCCAGCAGCCGCGGUAAUACGUAGGGUGCGAGCGUUAAUCGGAAUUACUGGGCGUAAAGCGUGCGCAGGCGGUUUGAUAAGCCAGAUGUGAAAUCCCCGAGCUCAACUUGGGAACUGCGUUUGGAACUGUCAGACUAGAGUGCGUCAGAGGGGGUGGAAUUCCGCGUGUAGCAGUGAAAUGCGUAGAGAUGCGGAGGAACACCGAUGGCGAAAGCAGCCCCAUGGGAUGACACUGACGCUCAUGCACGAAAGCGUGGGGAGCAAACAGAUUAGAUACCCUGAUAGUCCACGCCCUAAACGAUGUCAAUUAGCUGUUGGGGGUUAGAAUCCCUGGUAGCGUACUAACGCGUGAAAUUGACCGCCUGGGGAGUACGGCCGCAGUAAACUCAAAUGAAUU
rnacentral:rRNA from 1 species